GUCUAUGACCAUGCCACCCUGAACAAGCCUGAUCCCAUCUGGUCUUGGAAGCUAAGCAGUGUCAGGCCUUUUUAGUACUUGGAUGGAAGACCACCUAGGAAGAUCAGAUGCUGUAGUUG
rnacentral:rRNA from 1 species